rnacentral:rRNA from 1 species
GAUGAACGCUAGCUACAGGCUUAACACAUGCAAGUCGAGGGGCAGCAUGAACUUAGCUUGCUAAGUUUGAUGGCGACCGGCGCACGGGUGAGUAACACGUAUCCAACCUGCCGAUGACUCGGGGAUAGCCUUUCGAAAGAAAGAUUAAUACCCGAUGGCAUAGUUCUUCCGCAUGGUGGAACUAUUAAAGAAUUUCGGUCAUCGAUGGGGAUGCGUUCCAUUAGGUUGUUGGCGGGGUAACGGCCCACCAAGCCUUCGAUGGAUAGGGGUUCUGAGAGGAAGGUCCCCCACAUUGGAACUGAGACACGGUCCAAACUCUUACGGGAGGCAGCAGUGAGGAAUAUUGGUCAAUGGACGAGAGUCUGAACCAGCCAAGUAGCGUGAAGGAUGACUGCCCUAUGGGUUGUAAACUUCUUUUAUAAGGGAAUAAAGUGGAGUCGUGACUCUUUUU